rnacentral:misc_RNA from 1 species
AACGGUCUAUACCUGCGGUACCUGCGGAGGGAUCAUUACAGAGUUGCAAAACUCCCUAACCCUUGUGAACAUACCUGUACGUCGUUGCUUCGGCGGGUAGCCCCUUUACGGGGCCUCGACCUCCCAGCGAGGUUGCCCGCCGGAGGACCACACAAAACUCUUGAAUUAAUGGCUUCUCUGAGUAUUAAUCAAAUAAGUUAAAACUUUCAACAAUGGAUCUCUAGAUCGGAAGAGCACACG